GGUCCAUGGUGGUUUAGAAAAAUCCAUGAUGGCCUAGAAAACAAUUUACUGCAAAAAAAAUAGUGGCAAGUUGGAGGCCCACAAAAGAAAAGGGCCCAUUAAAAAAUGGUGGCCUAGAAAAGGAAAAGUCCAUGAUGAUCUAGAAAAAUCCAUGAUGGCCUAGAAAAAAAAUCUGCUGUAAAAAAAAUUGUGGCAAGUUGGAGGCCCACAAAAGAAAAGGCCCAAUUUAAAAAAAAUGGUGGCCUAGAAAAGAAAAGGUCCAUGAUGGUUUAGAAAAUCCAUGAUGGCCUAGAAAACAAUUUACUGCAAAAAAAAUAGUGGCAAGUUGGAGGCCCACAAAAGAAAAGGCCCAAUUAAAAUGGUGGCCUAGAAAAGAAAAGGCCCAAUUAAAAUGGUGGCCUAGAAAAGGAAAGGUCCAUUAUAGCCUUAAAAAAAGAAGAAAUGGUGGCAAGUUGGAGGUCCACAAAAGGAAACGUCCAAUUAAAUCUUGGACCUUACUCAUGACCCUUAAAAAAAUAAAAAAAAUUUAAAAAAAAUAAAAAUAAAUAAAUCAAGUCCACAAAAAGGACCCAUGCAACAGAAGUAAAUGGCCCAUGGACUAUAAAGGGCAAUUAACCCUUUAUUUAAAAAAAAAAAAAAAAA